ensembl:lncRNA
GACAUGUCUGAAUACCCAUACUAGCAUACUACAUACUAUACGUAUACUUGAUAUGACUACUAAUCGUCGCAUACUAUUUAGCAUGUAAUGUUUAGUAAAAGGUAUGCUGUAUGUCACGGCUGCAAUGCAGUCGCAGCUCCUGAUUGGCUGAGUAGGUGGGGCGGGGCCGAGUGUGGGUGAAUUUGUCCAAAUGCAAAAGACAUGCAUCUCAUUAACCAGCCUGAUAAUAGCUCAUUUCUAAUUGUAUUAAUUUCUCUAAACUCUGAAUAAAACUACCUACUCCACAGUAGACCUAUACAGUAGUAGACCAUAUAGACAAUCUACCCUAUUUAAAAACAGACUGAAGACAGAAACAGACCAUUUGGUUCCAUUUCAACAUAUUUAUUAUUUUAUUAGUUCAACGUUUUUUAAAGUGUUUAAAUCAAAAGGCUAUUGGACAGAAAAACUUGAGCAUUCGGUGCAUCGCGAAUUAGGAACCGCUGGACAGCAACGUAAUAAACGAACGCGCUGAUCAUUGGGAACGAGAUCAGAAUGACUGCUAAGGCCUGAUCCAUAAAUUAAAUCAUUCAAUAGGUAGCCUAGCCUACAAAACUAAAACAAAAGGCCUGAUUCACAUGACAUCAAUACCACAGCAACAUCCCAAGUCCCCGGUGUCGACACGUUCAGAAAUCAAAAGAUAAUUUUAAAACUCUGACGAAGACCAAGAGAACAAGAAACACUUUUCAGAGAGGAAACAAAAAUCCACUUUGGGCAAUUAGGAGUCACAGCCGCCUCUCCCCCUCCAUGGAUGAGGCAGCCAGCUGACAAGGCUGCUGUGGUUCCCGCCAAUGGCGGAGGUUGGACUAUGGCUGGCAAAAGAAGCAUCCAGAUUCAGACUUACGGGGUUCCAUGGCCAAGGAGAGGCAAAUGUCAAGUCAUGCGUCCUCCGAAAAAUGACACACCAAACCGCGCUUCUUAACACCUGCCUGCUUAACCCGGAAGCAAGCUGCACCAACGAGGAAACACCGUUCAACUGACGGCCGAGGUUAGCCUGCAGGCGCCUGGCCCACCACAAGAAGCCGCUAGAGCGCAAUGAGCCAAACAAAGACCCGAAGACAUUCAAGCAGCACUUUGAGAGUAAGCAUCCCAGUACUGGUUGAUGUGCUGGCCUAAGUGGACCAAAUGGACCUACUGCUGGGACAGACGAUGACCACGAUUUGAAAUCUGCAACUGAGAUGGAAUAACAUUGAGGGACACACGCUGACACCGAGUAUGACUGGACAUGGGCCGGAUAUUUGGGACAACAACCUGAAAGGGGUGCAUAAGCACACCAGCACCCCAAUUUAUGUUAUUCCAUGGCCAACCAUCCCACUAGCUACCCCUUAUUCCACACUAUGCCGUGUAUGCCCCCUCAACUCCAGACACUUUGGAACUAUCCACCUUCCCAACCUACCUUCACUGAUUUUCGCUAUGCUGCUUCCUUCACUUGUUCUUCUAAUAGCAUCUAGAAUCAGUAACACCUUUAAAUGUGGUCCUGCUUUAAAUGACGUUCUGCUUAUAAAGCCUUCAUAAUGCCGUCAUAAGCACAACACAAGUGUUGCAAAGCAUCUAUAACCGUAUGUCAUGCUUUAUAAAGGGUUCAUAAAUGUGGCAUAACUGUGUUACAUAAUCACCCAUGUCAAAUGUGACAACACUUAUGUUGAAUAUGAUACAAUCAAGUGCUUUAUAACGGGUGACAUGUUGUGUUGCGUUGGCACAGGAUGGCACAUGCGCUACAGUGAAGUCAUGUUAGCCACAUUACACCUAAUCUCGAUCCCAGACACCCAAAUGCACAGAAGGUCUAGUGGACCAAUGCAUGAAACUUGGCCUUCAUUAGUUAGGGUUGGGUUUCACAUGAAAUUUGAAUCAGAUUGAUUGAGGAAAUGGGCAGUGAUUAGCCAUAAUUAUGACUCUGUGGCUGUACUUCAUAAGUCAUCAGAACCUUAAUGACCUAUUUAAGGACACUUUAUCUGGUGUCCUGUAAUACUUUGUUUGAAGUGAUACAACUUCGGUCAUUCAUAACACAUCCGUAAAGACUCUAUAUCCCAUAGCGCUGUACUUUAAAGUCUCCUUUAGUCAUUCAUAGCACAUACAUAAAUGCCUUGUAUCAUAUGACGCUGUACUUACUAUAAAGUCAGACACAUUUGGUCAUUUCUAAACACACAUAGAUGCCUUGUAUCAUAUGACGCUGUACUUACUAUAAAGUCAGACACAUUUGGUCAUUUCUAAACACACAUAGAUGCCUU